rnacentral:rRNA from 1 species
GAUGAACGCUGGCGGCGUGCCUAAUACAUGCAAGUCGAGCGAACAGACGAGGAGCUUGCUCCUCUGACGUUAGCGGCGGACGGGUGAGUAACACGUGGAUAACCUACCUAUAAGAUUGGGAUAACUUCGGGAAACCGGAGCUAAUACCGGAUAAUAUAUUGAACCGCAUGGUUCAAUAGUGAAAGACGGUUUUGCUGUCACUUAUAGAUGGAUCCGCGCCGCAUUAGCUAGUUGGUAAGGUAACGGCUUACCAAGGCGACGAUGCGUAGCCGACCUGAGAGGGUGAUCGGCCAAACUGGAACUGAGACACGGUCCAGACUCCUACGGGAGGCAGCAGUAGGGAAUCUUCCGCAAUGGGCGAAAGACUGACGGAGCAACGCCGCGUGAGUGAUGAAGGUCUUCGGAUCGUAAAACUCUGUUAUUAGGGAAGAACAAAUGUGUAAGUAACUAGGCACGUCUUGACGGUACCUAAUCAGAAAGCCACGGCUAACUACG